AGCGAACGCUGGCGGCAGGCCUAACACAUGCAAGUCGAACGGGCGUAGCAAUACGUCAGUGGCAGACGGGAGAGUAACACGUGGGAACGUGCCCUUUGGUUCGGAACAACCCAGGGAAACUUGGGCUAAUACCGGAUAAGCCCUCACGGGGAAAGAUUUAUCGCCGAAGGAUCGGCCCGCGUCUGAUUAGCUAGUUGGUGGGGUAAUGGCCCACCAAGGCGACGAUCAGUAGCUGGUCUGAGAGGAUGAUCAGCCUCACUGGGACUGAGACACGGCCCAGACUCCUACGGGAGGCAGCAGUGGGGAAUACUGGACAAUGGGCGCAAGCCUGAUCCAGCCAUGCCGCGUGGGUGAUGAAGGCCUUAGGGUUGUAAAGCCCUUUCGGCGGGGAAGAUAAUGACGGUACCCGCAGAAGAAGCCCCGGCCAACUUCGUGCCAGCCGCCGCCGUAAGAC
rnacentral:rRNA from 1 species